AUUGAACGCUGGCGGCAGGCCUAACACAUGCAAGUCGAGCGGGGUUUUCGGACCUAGCGGCGGACGGGUGAGUAAUGCGUAGGAAGCUACCCGAUAGAGGGGGAUACCAGUUGGAAACGACUGUUAAUACCGCAUAAUGUCUACGGACCAAAGUGUGGGACCUUCGGGCCACAUGCUAUCGGAUGCGCCUACGUGGGAUUAGCUAGUUGGUGAGGUAAUGGCUCACCAAGGCGACGAUCCCUAGCUGGUUUGAGAGGAUGAUCAGCCACACUGGAACUGAGACACGGUCCAGACUCCUACGGGAGGCAGCAGUGGGGAAUAUUGGACAAUGGGCGCAAGCCUGAUCCAGCCAUGCCGCGUGUGUGAAGAAGGCCUUCGGGUUGUAAAGCACUUUCAGUAGGGAGGAAGGGUGUUGUGUUAAUAGCACAGCAUUUUGACGUUACCUACAGAAGAAGCACCGGCUAACUCUGUGCCAGCCGCCGCAGUAAAAC
rnacentral:rRNA from 1 species